UGCGUAACACGUAUGCAACCUACCUAUCAUUGGGGGAUAGCCUUUGGAAACGGAGAUUAAUACCGCAUAAGACAGUAACAUGGCAUCAUGUAGCUGUUAAAGCUUCUGCGAUGAUAGAUGGGCAUGCGUCCAAUUAGUUAGUUGGUGAGGUAACGGCUCACCAAGACGAUGAUUGGUAGGGGAUCUGAGAGGAUAAUCCCCCACACUGGCACUGAGAUACGGGCCAGACUCCUACGGGAGGCAGCAGUAGGGAAUAUUGGGCAAUGGACGGAAGUCUGACCCAGCCAUGCCGCGUGCAGGAUGAAGGCGUUAUGCGUUGUAAACUGCUUUUUUAUAGGAAGAAGGAGACCUUGCGAGGUUUGGUGACGGUACUAUAAGAAUAAGCACCGGCUAACUCCGUGCCAGCAGCCGCGGUAAUACGGAGGGUGCGAGCGUUGUCCGGAUUUAUUGGGUUUAAAGGGUGCGUAGGCGGUUUAUUAAGUCAGUGGUGAAAGACGGUCGCUCAACGAUUGCAGUGCCAUUGAUACUGGUAGACUUGAGUUCGUAUGAGGUAGCUGGAAUGGAUAGUGUAGCGGUGAAAUGCAUAGAUAUUAUCCAGAACUCCAAUUGCGUAGGCAGGUUACUAAUACGAUACUGACGCUGAUGCACGAAAGUGUGGGGAUCAAACAGGAUUAGAUACCCUGGUAGUCCACACUGUAAACGAUGAUGACUAACUGUUUGCCCUUUGGGGUGAGUGGUACAGAGAAAUCGUUAAGUCAUCCACCUGGGGAG
rnacentral:rRNA from 1 species